rnacentral:rRNA from 1 species
UGGAGUAAAAGUUGGGUAACAAGGUUUCCGUAGGUGACCUGCGGAAGGAUCAUUG